UUGGCUCUUUUGUCCUUCCCUUCAAACCCUAAAUCACUUGCUUGCGGCUCUCCCCCUGUGCUCGCCCCAAAACCACAAAUCAAAAGGUUUGUUGGGCAUUUCUGGGGGAAAUCUCAGAGAUCUUAUGCUAGUGUGGUGAAAGCUAAGAGAGCUCCGAUCGUUGUUGUGAAGAUGCAACCAAGAGGAGCUGGUCGGCGUGGAGCUGCGCGCGGGUAUGGUCGGGGUUCUGGCCGCGAUCACGUCUGGAGGCGUAUCGAAGAUGGUGAUGUUCAAAAUCAAAGAGGUGGUCGCAAUAGUGAGGAGGCGAAUAUGAAAGAGGGGGAUGAUACCUUGAAUCAAGGUAACCCAUCUCCCUGGGAAAGUCAAGUUAACAGAUCUGAAGAAAAGAAUGAAGAUAGUUGGAAAAAAAAUCCCCAUCCUAUGGGAGAAUAUGGUCCUAAAGAUUUGCAUGUGAAAAAAGAGGUAACUCGCAGUUUUAAUCUGGAUAGAUCUGGAUGUGCUUUUUGUCACUUUAAAAAUCAUCUUACUAAGGAUUGUCGACAUCGCUUUCCUUGUGACAUUUGUGGUUGUGAUGAUCAUGUUGUGUUUGAUUGCAAAAAAUGCUUGCCUUGGAAUUUUGGUCCGGAACUUUGUGCGACACAAGUUGAGGAUCAGAGUUUUUUCUAUAUUGAAGAAAAAGUGGAUAAUCGGAUGAUUAAAGAAAAAUCCAGCACUGCUAUUAUCACUGUUGUUCAAGGGAAUGUUAGUGAAAAACAGAUUGAAUUAGAAUUCAUGAACAUGUUAGGCAAGAAUUUAUGGCGGUGGUCUGCUAGAUCUGUGGGAGACAAUAAGUUUGUUAUGAGAUUUCCAGAUCCUAAAAUGAUAGGGGAUCUUGGAUACUUUAGACCUUUAGGCAUGAGAAGAGCGAAAGCCCAGAUUACAACUGAUCCUUGGACACCUGCUGUUAAUGCUAAAGGUUGCUUGCAAAAAGGGUGGUUUAGAAUUAGUGGCAUUCCUAUGGAACAAAGGUCUCUGGUGACAAUUGCUAAAGUUGGUGGGCUCGUGGGUAAGGUGAUUGAAAUUGAUGAAAGGACUAGACUCAGAAAUGAAUAUGUGAGAGCUAGAAUUGCUUGCAGGGAUGCCACAACUGUUCCCGGUGUUGUGGAAGGCUCCCUUGGAUUGUUUUUGUAUGAUUUUUUCUUUGAAAGGGAGAUACACUCGGAAGAGGAUGAACAAUUUCUUGAGACUGGGAUUAGAAUUGAUGAUUCUAAUCAGAAAGCUGCUAAAAGAUACAAAUAUGAAGGUAAAAUGCAGAAAGAUAAGAAAGUGGAUUAUGGGAACUUGGAGGAUGGAAAUACUAAACAGCAUGAUGAGUGUAACAGAAAAUCUCAAAGUUACACUUAUCAAAUGCAAGGGCUUGACAAGAAUGUGAGCAAAGGAAAAAAUGUAGGAGCUGAAGAAGGUAAAACUGGCAAAUCUUAUUCCAGUUGUUCUGGUGAAGAAAAGAACAAAGUGCAUAUAACUGAUAGCGAGGAAGAUGAUGAUAGUGAUCUUCUUGGAGAGGAGCUUAUGGCAAUGAAAAAUCGUGGAUCUGGAUCAAAUAGCCAUACUAUGUGGAAUAUACAGGCUGACUCAGUUGACAACUUGAAUUCUAGGAGUGUAAGCCAGACUAAAACCUCUAAAUGCUCUGUCAUUAUUGAAGAACUUGAUACCAAUGAGAAAGGAGUUGAUAAUUCUGAAGAAUUGUUUUCCGGUACUCAAGGUAGCUCGCUUGUGAAUGUUUCGCAAGAGGAAGGUGAAGAUCUUUCGGAUCAAAGAAAGAAAAUUGAUGGCGUUAUUUUUCAUGAAGAUAAUCAGAAAUUUAUGCCUUCACCCAUCCCGGUGAGAAGGGUCAGUGAACGUCUUAAAAAAGAUAUGGGUAUCAGAAUUGAAGAGAAGAACAGAAGAAUGGCUGUGAAAAGGAAUCUGGAAGGGAAAUCUGGAGGCAUUCUUGUGGGUUCUAGAAUUGAUGAUCUUGAUGUGGGAUCUUUUAAGAAAGGUUUGAGCAAGAAAGAGCUGCAAGAUUUACUUCAGGACGGGGCCAAGCUUCUGCUGAAAGCUGCAAAUGCGAGGAAUCCUGGGAGAGAAAUUCAAGGGCAAGCUGAUGAUGACGUCCAGAAGAUGGAUUUGGAACGUUGCCGGGUAGAUUUCCUUGACCUGAAUCAGGAAUGGGAGAAAGUGAUGGAACGUCAAGGUUUUCGCCAGUUCGCUGAUAAGAUUCUUGACAUUAUCAGCUCAAAAGAAUAA
rnacentral:misc_RNA from 1 species